rnacentral:snRNA from 11 species
CUACUUACCUGGACGGGGUCUAUGGGUGAUCAAGAAGGCCUAUGGCCAAGGUUAGCAACCUCCAUUGCACACUGCAUUUCGGAGGAGCGUAGCCUAAGAUCUCCCAAUCUCCCCUUGUGGGAGAGCUAAUUAGCC